rnacentral:lncRNA from 1 species
UUCCCUCAAAAAUCUGCAGCCAUUGUUUCCAUUUUCUAACUGUUAAUAUUGUGGAGAAAUCAGAUGCCUACAUGAUUUUUCUUCUUGUGUUGAUAACAUACUUUCCUCAGGAUGGAUAUGAGACUUUUUUUCUUCUUAAAAUUUGAAAUUCAACAGUGUCAACUAUGAGCUAAUACUCAUUAAUUUUACCUCAAAUGCGGCGAGCUGCUUUGACCUGAUAAUCUAUCCUCAGUUCAGGGAGCCUGUGUCACUAUUUAACUGAUUGUUCCUUCUCCUCCAUCUGCCUCAGUCUUUUCUUCUGGAAUUUCUAACCUGUAAUUCCAUAUUGAUUUUCUUUUCAUCAUUCUUACCCAUAUUACUCUAAGUUGUGGGAGCAUUUCUGGAGCUUGUCUGGAUUUGCUGGGGUUUGGGUUUUCUGAAGUAUCCAGAAUGAUGUUCACACCCAAAAAGAUGAUGGCAUCUGUGGCAGACUCUGUCCGUUGAUGAACACAACCCCGUUCCAAACUCCUUCACUCUCACCCAACUCCACCAGAGAGGCUUUCCCAACCUCCCUUACAGCUAGUGGUUGUGGCCUCGUGACACCACCCUGAUAAGUAAGAUGCAAACACACAGAGGUCUCGGUAGGGUAGGGGGUGGUUCUAGAAAACUUGAACUUUCUUGACAAAAGCACAUACGUGAUUGACACCAACUCUUCCCACUUAUUCCUGCUUUUGAUGAAGACCUGAUGCCUGGAAAGGCAGAAAACAUUUUGUGAUCA